GCUCAGUAACACGUAGUCAACCUACCCUGAGGACGAGGAUAACCCCGGGAAACUGGGGAUAAACCUCGAUAGGUCAUAGUUUCUGGAAUGGGCUAUGGCUCAAAUCUAUAUGGCCUCAGGAUGGGACUGCGUCCGAUCAGGUUGUUGGUGGGGUAAUGGCCCACCAAGCCUAUAACCGGUACGGGCUCUGAGAGGAGGAGCCCGGAGAUGGGCACUGAGACAAGGGCCCAGGUCCUAUGGGGCGCAGCAGGCGCGAAACCUCCGCAAUGGGCGAAAGCCCGACGGGGUCAGUCCGAGUGGCUCCCGCUAAGGGAGUCUUUUGCCAGCUGUAAACAGGCUGGUGAAUAAGGGGUGGGCAAGCCUGGUGUCAGCCGCCGCGGUAAUACCAGCACCCCGAGUGGUCGGGAUGAUUAUUGGGCCUAAAGCAUCCGUAGCCGGUGUAACAAGUCCUCCGUUAAAUCCACCUGCUUA
rnacentral:rRNA from 1 species